AGUCUCCUGAAGGAACGUUGAAGACGACGACGUUGAUAGGCCGGGUGUGUAAGCGCAGCGAUGCGUUGAGCUAACCGGUACUAAUGAACCGUGAGGCUUACCUUACAACGCCGAAG
rnacentral:rRNA from 1 species